rnacentral:rRNA from 1 species
AUGAGCAUGGACCCGGAACUCGCGCUCCACCUCGAGAUCGCCGCGGUGGUCCUGAUGGCGGUGAUCAUCGUCGCCGUGGCCGUGUUGGCCUCCGGCGUAGCCUGCGACGACGUGGCCGGCGCCGCCGCGGUGCACGCCGCCGACGUCGAGAGCGCCCUCGGCGACGCCACUCUCAUGACGUACGCUCAGGCGACCGCCGGGAAGAAGGAGAAGGGGAAGGAGGAGGAGCGGUGCGCCAUCUGCCAGUGGGAGUACGGCGAGGGCGACGCCGGCGAGCUGGUGCGGGUGGUGCCGGCCUGCGGCCACUUCUACCACGCGAGCUGCGACGUCGACCGCUGGCUCCGGAAGCGCCAUACGUGCCCGCUCUGCCGCGGAGGGCUCGGGCCGCCGCUGCCGCUGCCGGCGCUGCCACGGCCGGAGUGCCCGCCGAUGCCGGCGCGGAUGCUGUCUUCAGCUUAG